rnacentral:rRNA from 1 species
GGGUUGUGAGGUUAAGCGACUAAGCGUACACGGUGGAUGCCCUGGCAGUCAGAGGCGAUGAAGGACGUGCUAAUCUGCGAAAAGCGUCGGUAAGGUGAUAUGAACCGUUAUAACCGGCGAUGUCCGAAUGGGGAAACCCAGUGCAAUUCGUUGCACUAUCGUUAACUGAAUACAUAGGUUAACGAGGCGAACCGGGGGAACUGAAACAUCUAAGUACCCCGAGGAAAAGAAAUCAACCGAGAUUCCCCCAGUAGCGGCGAGCGAACGGGGAGCAGCCCAGAGUCUGAAUCAGCUUGUGUGUUAGUGGAACGGUCUGGAAAGUCCGACGGUACAGGGUGAUAGUCCCGUACACCAAAAUGCACAGGUUGUGAACUCGAAGAGUAGGGCGGGACACGUGGUAUCCUGUCUGAAUAUGGGGGGACCAUCCUCCAAGGCUAAAUACUCCUGACUGACCGAUAGUGAACCAGUACCGUGAGGGAAAGGCGAAAAGAACCCCGGCGAGGGGAGUGAAAAAGAACCUGAAACCGUGUACGUACAAGCAGUGGGAGCACCUUCGGGUGUGACUGCGUACCUUUUGUAUAAUGGGUCAGCGACUUAUAUUCUGUAGCAAGGUUAACCGUAUAGGGGAGCCGCAGGGAAACCGAGUCUUAACUGGGCGUUAAGUUGCAGGGUAUAGACCCGAAACCCGGUGAUCUAGCCAUGGGCAGGUUGAAGGUUGGGUAACACUAACUGGAGGACCGAACCGACUAAUGUUGAAAAAUUAGCGGAUGACUUGUGGCUGGGGGUGAAAGGCCAAUCAAACCGGGAGAUAGCUGGUUCUCCCCGAAAGCUAUUUAGGUAGCGCCUCGUGAAUUCAUCUUCGGGGGUAGAGCACUGUUUCGGCUAGGGGGUCAUCCCGACUUACCAACCCGAUGCAAACUACGAAUACCGAAGAAUGUUAUCACGGGAGACACACGGCGGGUGCUAACGUCCGUCGUGAAGAGGGAAACAACCCAGACCGCCAGCUAAGGUCCCAAAGUCAUGGUUAAGUGGGAAACGAUGUGGGAAGGCACAGACAGCCAGGAUGUUGGCUUAGAAGCAGCCAUCAUUUAAAGAAAGCGUAAUAGCUCACUGGUCGAGUCGGCCUGCGCGGAAGAUGUAACGGGGCUAAACCAUGCACCGAAGCUGCGGCAGCGACACUAUGUGUUGUUGGGUAGGGGAGCGUUCUGUAAGCCUGCGAAGGUGACCUGUGAGGGUUGCUGGAGGUAUCAGAAGUGCGAAUGCUGACAUAAGUAACGAUAAAGCGGGUGAAAAGCCCGCUCGCCGGAAGACCAAGGGUUCCUGUCCAACGUUAAUCGGGGCAGGGUGAGUCGACCCCUAAGGCGAGGCCGAAAGGCGUAGUCGAUGGGAAACAGGUUAAUAUUCCUGUACUUGGUGUUACUGCGAAGGGGGGACGGAGAAGGCUAUGUUAGCCGGGCGACGGUUGUCCCGGUUUAAGCAUGUAGGCUGGUUAUCCAGGCAAAUCCGGAUAAUCAAGGCUGAGGUGUGAUGACGAGGCACUACGGUGCUGAAGUAACAAAUGCCCUGCUUCCAGGAAAAGCCUCUAAGCAUCAGGUAACAUCAAAUCGUACCCCAAACCGACACAGGUGGUCAGGUAGAGAAUACCAAGGCGCUUGAGAGAACUCGGGUGAAGGAACUAGGCAAAAUGGUGCCGUAACUUCGGGAGAAGGCACGCUGGUGUGUAGGUGAAGCCCCUGCGGGUGGAGCUGAGACCAGUCGAAGAUACCAGCUGGCUGCAACUGUUUAUUAAAAACACAGCACUGUGCAAACACGAAAGUGGACGUAUACGGUGUGACGCCUGCCCGGUGCCGGAAGGUUAAUUGAUGGGGUUAUCCGUAAGGAGAAGCUCUUGAUCGAAGCCCCGGUAAACGGCGGCCGUAACUAUAACGGUCCUAAGGUAGCGAAAUUCCUUGUCGGGUAAGUUCCGACCUGCACGAAUGGCGUAAUGAUGGCCAGGCUGUCUCCACCCGAGACUCAGUGAAAUUGAACUCGCUGUGAAGAUGCAGUGUACCCGCGGCAAGACGGAAAGACCCCGUGAACCUUUACUAUAGCUUGACACUGAACAUUGAGCCUUGAUGUGUAGGAUAGGUGGGAGGCUUUGAAGCGUGGACGCCAGUCUGCGUGGAGCCAACCUUGAAAUACCACCCUUUAAUGUUUGAUGUUCUAACGUUGGCCCCUUACCGGGGUUGCGGACAGUGUCUGGUGGGUAGUUUGACUGGGGCGGUCUCCUCCCAAAGCGUAACGGAGGAGCACGAAGGUUAGCUAAUCCUGGUCGGACAUCAGGAGGUUAGUGCAAUGGCAUAAGCUAGCUUGACUGCGAGCGUGACGGCGCGAGCAGGUGCGAAAGCAGGUCAUAGUGAUCCGGUGGUUCUGAAUGGAAGGGCCAUCGCUCAACGGAUAAAAGGUACUCCGGGGAUAACAGGCUGAUACCGCCCAAGAGUUCAUAUCGACGGCGGUGUUUGGCACCUCGAUGUCGGCUCAUCACAUCCUGGGGCUGAAGUAGGUCCCAAGGGUAUGGCUGUUCGCCAUUUAAAGUGGUACGCGAGCUGGGUUUAGAACGUCGUGAGACAGUUCGGUCCCUAUCUGCCGUGGGCGCUGGAGAAUUGAGGGGGGCUGCUCCUAGUACGAGAGGACCGGAGUGGACGCAUCACUGGUGUUCGGGUUGUCAUGCCAAUGGCACUGCCCGGUAGCUAAAUGCGGAAGAGAUAAGUGCUGAAAGCAUCUAAGCACGAAACUUGCCCCGAGAUGAGUUCUCCCUGAGACUUUAAGUCUCCUGAAGGAACGUUAAAGACGAUGACGUUGAUAGGCCGGGUGUGUAAGCGCAGCGAUGCGUUGAGCUAACCGGUACUAAUGAACCGUGAGGCUUAACCUUACAACGCCGAAG